AUCUAACCUCAGCCUUAUCUUCCCCAUUCGCAGCUUCCUCUUGAAGGAGGAGCAGCCCCUUCAAAACCGAGCUGUGUGCCCGGGCUGAGCCCCCACCGCGCUCCUGCACGACCCCCGCUGCGGCCCCGGCCCGGCUGCCGCGGCUCCGGAUGGCCCCACCAUGGCUGGCGUCCAGCGAGGACUCUGUGACCCCAGGAGCUGCAGUGUGGCACUGCGUGUAUUUGACAAGCUGAGUCCGACACUCAGUGUGCAGAGUGUCAGUUUGUCAAAUACCCCAAGUGAGGCACUGCUGAGCAACGCGACGCCGAUGGUGCAGCCCUUUCCUCCUGCUCUGGCAGGAGCCUUCCUCUCCAGAGACCUACCGAGGUGCUGAGCAGCCCAUCCCAUGUUCCAGAACACCUGACUGAUGCUGUGCUGCCAGGUUUCCCUGCCACCCUGGUUUUGGAAGUAUCUGUCCCAACAUUUAAUCAGAGCAGAAGUGGUGCUGGUGCAACGUCUCCAUCCUGUGAAGACAGGGAGUCGUGCCCUGGGUCCUUGUUAUUUGCAUCCAAAUACAAUGCUGUUCUCUUACACAGCAUUAACUAGCCAGCUGUGAAUUAAGCUCAGUUAACAAGGAUCCUGGCAACUAUAAUCACAACAUCAUGGGUAAAGGCAGCAUUAUCCAUAAUAAAGAAUCUUGCCUUUGGACAUGUAGUAAUAUUUUUUAUAUUUAUAUAACUAAUGAGGAUGCUUAUUAACGUUCCUCUGGCCCAUUAGCCUGUGAAAAAUAUAUGUUUGCUCAAUCUGUUUUAAAUUAGGCCAUGGAGUCCAUUGCUCUUCCUGGGAGUCUUGCUGUUUGGAGAAGACUUCUUGUCUCUGCAUGGUUAUUCCUAGUCAGCACUUACAGUAAGGUUGCCUAUUCUGCUAUUUAAAUAAAGUAAUUCCCUCUAAAUCAUCCUGCUUGAAGAUGUAAUGAUUGCUAAGUGUUUUCAGUAACUGACUUGUAGAAUUUCAGAUAUGUCAGGGUAGGGGAAGGAGAGGGGCAGCAUUGAGCCCAAUUUGACAAAUCAAACUCUGAAAGCAUUUGACAUGGAAAACUCAAAAAUAAAAAAAAAUCCCAAGACUGCACUGACUAGUUUUAGGACAGUAGCACCAGCAAAUUUUGCAAUAUUUGAGAAUAUUAAUAAACUGAAAUACUUAA